rnacentral:lncRNA from 1 species
CACUAGGUUGAUACAUUUGCUGGUAGACUGUCAGUCUCCUAGAUAUAUGGUUUAAAUAUGUUUUUUAUAAUAUUACUUAUGUAAACCAACAUCAGAUGUUGAUAAGAGAUGUAUUACCAAAAUAAGACUUAGAAGUCUGAUUAAGCUAUAGAUUUUGACGGGAUUUUUUGCAUCAUAAGAGGUAAAAUUAUUGGAGAACACC